GCCCCUUAUCGAUCCUAAUCGCCCCCUGGUCGUCCUGUGUAUUCCAGGACAUAUAUAUAGAUAUAUGGUCAUAUAUAACACUAUAUAAGUAUAUAUAGAUAUAUACUUAUAUAGUAUAGAGACUUGCAGCAGUAUAAAACCCUUAAAUAGUCCAUAACAGCACAACAAUAUCAAUAUUCAAUUUCAAUACUUGGAAGUCCAAAACAGCAGUACAUCCAGCUUACUAGACCAGCACAGCAGCAACAAGUUUAUAUAAGAC
rnacentral:lncRNA from 1 species